UACGAAGGUGGCAAGCGUUGUUCGGAUUUACUGGGCGUACAGGGAGCGUAGGCGGUUGGAUAAGCCCUCCGUGAAAUCUCCAGGCUUAACUCGGAAAGGUCAACUGAUACUGUGCGACUAGAGUGCGGAAGGGGCAACUGGAAUUCUCGGUGUAGCGGUGAAAUGCGUAGAUAUCGAGAGGAACACCUGCGGCGAAGGCGGCAUCCUGGACCGACACUGACGCUGAGGAGCGAAAGCCAGGGGAGCAAACGGG
rnacentral:rRNA from 1 species